UGUUCAUAUAACGUGUCUCUUGACACGAUUAUCAUUAAACGUAAUCAUGUCUCUAAGGAUUCUAACACUGAUUCUUCUUCUUCUUCUUGUGCUUUGUUCAUUCGCUGGUGGACAAAUAAAAGGGGGAAAAGACAAAGAUUCAGCAUUCAAUGAAAGUCAAGGCUCAGAAUCAGGUGAAAGUCAAGG